rnacentral:lncRNA from 1 species
UUAACAAAUGAUUGUGUUUAUUGAUGAGUUCAUACAUCAAUACAAAUGGACGAGUUAAAAACGGCCCCUGCCCCGUGAGACCUCGGGAGGAGGGAAGCGCCCAUGGCCUGAACAAAGUAUAAAAGUUAUAAAUAAGGAGGUUUUCAAAACUGGGUCAGGGCAAAUCUGUUCGGGGGGGGGGGCAGUUGCCGGUGGCCUCAGACAUGCAGAAGGGGACGGGCGCCGGCGGCCACAAGACCCCCUCUCCCACCUAAGCGCUCAGCUGAGGUAGGGAAAGGGCGGCCACCUUCUCACAAACCUUAGCGAUAGUGUUAGCUCCCUCCUCUGAAGGACUGGUUGGCUGAGGAUCUCCAAGAGCCCAGACCAGAGGGCCAGGCCUGGGGCUGAUCUGUGGCUGUUGUGCCGGUUGGGGGAGUGGUAGUAGACUUCUAACCCUCACAAGGGCAGCUGCAGCCCUGCCAGGGUCCACCCUCAGCUGCAGGGGUUCUUGGGGCCAGGACUUCUUUGCAGUGUGGCCAUGCAGGUGGUAGUAGUACAGAAGGGGGGUGGGGGUGGUGAACUAGGUUUCAUCUGUUCUGGUGCACUCUGGCUGAUGCAAACAAGAGCCGGGCACUCUACAAAAACCAACUUUCUAAGUUGCUGCCUAUUGAACCAGCAGGGCCCCAGGGCCUGUCCAUGGGAGAAUAGGUUGUUGUGGCCUGGAGCUUCAGGAAAGCUACACUGACUUACCUGAGGCAGAGGGAAGCAGCAGGGCCCAGAGACACGUGUUCUUCACCCCAAUUCCUCAACCACUGCUUCACUACUUGGUCCUACUCUACCUUAGCCCACUGUACCCUAUCUCCUUCCCCUCACCCCUAACAACUGCCCUUCUAAUUCUAAUCUACCCCCUGCCUUCUACUACGUACCUGUCCCACCUACCACCUUUCCAAUGUGUCUCUUGGCUCCUUCUGCACUCCCAUGUGCCUCCCCCUCCCCUCAACUUCCAGCAUCCAGAGCAUCUUGGGUGCCCAGCACUGCCUUUGAGGAGGCUCCUUCCACCUGAACCAGGAACCAACAAGCCAUCUCACAUCAGCUAGGUUGUGGACACCAAGAAUCCAGAAUUCAGGUUACUACAUUCCAGUCCUUUUUGUGCUCCUUGAUAGUUCCAUAUGAGCCAGGGUGGUGAAGCAGGAGUAGUACAUGAAGGGAAACCAGGCACACAUCAGCCAGCCAAGUACUUUAGCGAUAAACACUCAACGUGUGUGUGUGUGUGUGUGUGUGUGUGUGUGUGUGUACAGUUCUGUGGCUAAGGUCCUUAGAAGGUGGGCUGGUGCCCUGUAAACCAUGAGAGAAGUUCUAACACAGGCUUCUGACUGGGCAUCACUCAGGAUGCAAGGAGAAGGUGGCCUCUGGGUCUAGGAGCCUGCUGGGGACAAGGGUUGGGAGGAUAGAGAAGACCAAGGGGCUAAGAAGAGGAGGCCAGGGCUUUAUGUUUGCCCAGCAGAGGGCUUUACUGUCCUGCAGCAACAUCCCACAGCUGUCUCCACAACUUCUGGCCAGGAGAGAAAGGGGGCACAGGGAGAGAGAUAAUGCUAGGGCUCUCUUAGAGGGGGGAUGGGAGUGGAAUGUGGGGGCUCAGGCCUUGACACC